rnacentral:rRNA from 1 species
GAACUGAAGAGUUUGAUCAUGGCUCAGAUUGAACGCUGGCGGCAGGCCUAACACAUGCAAGUCGAGCGGAUGAAGGGAGCUUGCUCCUGGAUUCAGCGGCGGACGGGUGAGUAAUGCCUAGGAAUCUGCCUGGUAGUGGGGGAUAACGUCCGGAAACGGGCGCUAAUACCGCAUACGUCCUGAGGGAGAAAGUGGGGGAUCUUCGGACCUCACGCUAUCAGAUGAGCCUAGGUCGGAUUAGCUAGUUGGU